rnacentral:rRNA from 1 species
GAGUUUGAUCGUGGCUCAGAUUGAACGCUGGCGGCAUGCCUAACACAUGCAAGUCGAGCGGGGUGUAGCAAUACAUCCAGCGGCGGACGGGUGAGGAAUACGUAGGAAUUUGCCUUAGAGCGGGGGAUAGCCCAGGGAAACUUGGAGUAAUACCGCAUGAUGUCGAAAGACCAAAGCAGGGGACCGCAAGGCCUUGCACUCUAAGAGAAGCCUACGUCUGAUUAGCUAGUUGGUGAGGUAAUGGCUCACCAAGGCGACGAUCAGUAACUGGUCUGAGAGGACGAUCAGUCACACUGGAACUGAGACACGGUCCAGACUCCUACGGGAGGCAGCAGUGGGGAAUAUUGGACAAUGGGCGAAAGCCUGAUCCAGCAAUGCCGCGUGUGUGAAGAAGGCCUUCGGUU